GCGAAGAAGAAUUACUUCCGGUUUCCGCUGAACGCAAGCUUGUUGAUUAUAGCUUGUUGUUAGCCGGUUAGCUAGCUAGCCAAUUUUUAUACUUUCACAGAAUAUUUGCUUUAAAAAGACAAAAACAGACGCGUGGAUUCACCAAAAAGCACACGUCAUCAUGGCAGCUGGUGCCGAUGUGAGAGAUAUUCUGGAGUUGGCCGGAGGGGACAAUGAUGGGCCGAUCAGUAAGAAGGAUUUCAUCAACUCCGAGAAG